GCCUCCGUGGCGCAAUUGGCUAGCGCGUUCGGCUGUUAACCGGAAGGUUGGAGGUUUCGAUCCCUCCCGGGGGCG
rnacentral:tRNA from 1 species